UUUUUACUCCAUUUCUUCUUCUUCUUCUUCUUCUUCUUCUUCUUCUUCUUCUUCUUCAGCGAUAACCAUGGCCGACUGAAACCCUUCCACCGAUGACCUUGAUCAGCUCCUCGACAGUGCUUUGGAUGAUUUCCAAACCUUCAACCUUAAUAAUUCCUCCGCUCAGAGGAGUGGGGAAGCAACUGUGGUGAAAAAGGAGGCACCUUCGCUUCUUUCUAGGGUUCAAGGAUUGGGGAUGGGUGGUGGGUUAUCCAAUUUGAAAAAUAAGAAAAAGGGAA